CGGCCUCCUACCAUGCAGUCGAGCGAGGAGAUUUCCUUCGGGGAUGAACCUAGCGGCGGACGGGUGCAGUAACACGUGGGCAACCUGCCUUAUAGAGGGGAAUAGCCUUCCGAAAGGAAGAUUAAUACCGCAUAAGAUUACAUCUUCGCAUGAAGAAGUAAUUAAAGGAGUAAUCCGCUAUAAGAUGGGCCCGCGGCGCAUUAGCUAGUUGGUGAGGUAACGGCUCACCAAGGCGACGAUGCGUAGCCGACCUGAGAGGGUGAUCGGCCACAUUGGGACUGAGACACGGCCCAGACUCCUACGGGAGGCAGCAGUGGGGAAUAUUGCACAAUGGGGGAAACCCUGAUGCAGCAACGCCGCGUGAGUGAUGAAGGUCUUCGGAUCGUAAAGCUCUGUCUUCAGGGACGAUAAUGACGGUACCUGAGGAGGAAGCCACGGCUAACUACGUGCCAGCAGCCGCGGUAAUACGUAGGUGGCAAGCGUUGUCCGGAUUUACUGGGCGUAAAGGGUGCGUAGGCGGAUGAUUAAGUCAGAUGUGAAAUACCAGGGCUCAACCCUGGGGCUGCAUUUGAUACUGGUUAUCUAGAGUGCAGGAGAGGAGAGCGGUAUUCCUAGUGUAGCGGUGA
rnacentral:rRNA from 1 species